GCUGCCUAUUGCUGGAAUCAAUCAAUAUAUACACACUUUGGCAGCGGGAGCUUUGAAGAACAUAUAUAUUUUUCACAAACAAGGUUGCCGGUUGUUGUUUUUAUAUAGAUACUCCCACCAAAAAGACAGCAGCCUUGGAGAGAAUUGUGGCUAUUUGGAAGAGGCUAAACAUUAGGGCUGGAGUUAAUUAUGAAUUGAAGUGGAUUGAGGGGGAUUUUUGUCAUUCCAGUAGCAUCUUUUCCUUGCUUUUGACAGAGAAACUCAUCGUAAGAUGAAUUUUUCCAGUGGCGUUGUUAUGCAACGAAGAUGAUUGAGUUUGCACAAGAAUUUUGGAGGCGGAGAUGAAUGAUUCCCAAGCGUCGAUCAGAAUAAACUAACGUGGGCAAUUGCGUAGGUGAACAGCCAUUGUUGUGGAAAAUAUCCCGAUGAAUUAUGAAUUUUAUUGAUGUUUACUGAGUAAUUUUUCUUGAUUCUGGAUUUUGGAAACAGGAAGAGAACUGGGUUUUCGAAUUUGACCUUAUUUCAAUUCGAUAUUUACGUCUUUUUGUCUAUGUUGGACUUUGAAACCAUUCAAAAAGCAGAAACAUCCUCCCCGAGAUCAUUGGUUGAGAAACUGCUCGGAAUCAUUAUCCUUCCAGUGACUUUUUAAAUGUGGUGAGCACAUGGUUAAUGUAUCGCUUCCCACAGACGGCGCCAAUAAUGAUGCCAAAAAAUCGUACCUGGCAUAUUACGAACUUGUUGCUUGAAUACCGAGCCCGAGGACCGAGUAAGAGCACGAACAAAGGCUUUCGGUACCUGAAACAAAGGCAACGAGGUGUGUGCUCGUCGCCCCUCCGAUGCUUAAGUCAGAGAGGAAAAUUGUGUAAAAGUAUGUGCUGUAAUUGUAUUGUAAAGACAUACCUGAAUAAUGGAGCUGAGUCCUGUAUUUAUAGAUGUCAGUGGUUGAGUUGUAUCAAGAUACAACCACCUGUAAUCUUUAUCUUGUACAGUGAUUGAGUUAUAUCACAA
rnacentral:lncRNA from 1 species